rnacentral:siRNA from 1 species
UGGGACAACGAAAGGCGACA